CGGCCCGUCUAACGUCGUUCUCGGCGGGGCGGAGCUAGAGCAUACGCUACGGGACCCGAAAGAUGGUGAACUAUGCCUGGGCAGGACGAAGCCAGAGGAAACUCUGGUGGAGGUCCGCAGCGAUUCUGACGUGCAAAUCGAUCGUCAGACCUUGGUAUAGGGGCGAAAGACUAAUCGAACCAUCUAGUAGCUGGUUCCCUCCGAAGUUUCCCUCAGGAUAGCUGGUACUCGGAGGACCGGUCUCAUCCGGUAAAGCGAAUGAUUAGAGGCCUUGGGGCCGAAACGACCUCAACCUAUUCUCAAACUUU
rnacentral:rRNA from 1 species